CAGGACUCGCAAGACUCCUACAACCCUGUGAACCUACUAUACGAACGUUGCUUCGGCGGGUGCGCCCCGGGGAUUCGUUCCCGAGGCGCGUCAGCCCGCCGGCAGCCUACAAAUUCUGUUUCUUUGCGUUGGCAUCUCGAGAAAAAAAAAUAAGUUA
rnacentral:misc_RNA from 1 species